rnacentral:tRNA from 1 species
GAGAGUGUAGCUCAGUGGUAGAGCGCUCGCCUAGCAAGUGUGAGGUCCCUGGGUUCGAUCUUCAGCACCGCA